AUAAUUUGUUGUUAAAAAUUCACCAUCAUGUCAGAAGGAAGACACAAGAGAUAAACAAUGGAGGGAGGAUAAUUCCCUGAUGAAGAUUUGGGUCCCCGAAUCCAGCGAAAGAAGACACACACAGAGCUCUGCACCUCAACCUGAACCUCUGGCGACAAAUCCCGUCUGCUCUGCCACUGAAGACCACACCUCACAGGAUGAGGAAGAUCCUGCACUUCCUUCAAAGCUACCUGGGGAUACAUGUGAAAGAGAGGAUGAGAAGAAUAUAAGUAGCAGUUCUGACAGCAGUUCGAGCGAUGAUGACAAUUCCGAAGCUCUACCUGGGGUGCGAAGUUGUGGCACUGAUAGCAGUGAUGGUGACUCAGAGAGCGUAAACAAUGACUGCGAGGAAGAGGAAAAUGAAAUCCUACACUCAUCUGAUGAAUUAAUAUCCGACAGCGAGCAGGAUUCCCUAUCUUCUAGCACAGAGAAGGACUUUCCUCCACUAUCUACUAUCCUGGCUGGCAUUUCACUAUGUCCCACAGUGCCCCCGGCCUUGGGGAAGAUGCAUAGCCAGUGGGAGAUUCCCCUUUCAUUCCACCCACAUGACAUCCCUACUGCCACUUUGGCAAGCAACGUGACCGCCCAUGCUCAGGCUCCUGUCCAAGGCAAAGCAGAAGCACCUCAGGCAAACUCGAAAAAGACCGCAGAAGCCCUGACGCAGCAGGAGGCUUAUGACCUACAGGCUGACUUCCCGGCUCUGCGUGAUGGGAAUUCCAAGACCAAAGGUGUAGAGGGGAAAAGAGGGCUUACUCACUUACAAAACCAAUGCCAAGAGAGUGGGGCUUCCCAUCAGAGGAGGAAGGAACAUGUGCCCCAUGAGGUCUCUUCCAUCUGUGCAGGAGAUCAGAAAUCUGUGCUGGAGAUUCAAACAUUUGGCUCCACCGGCCAACGCAUCUCUCCUGCCAUCAGCUGUGAUGAAGUAAAGGCCAACAACCGGCCUCCUCCUCGAGUCGCAGGUACAGAUGGCGUGUGUGUUAAUGCCAGGUCCUGGGCUAGUGCUGCCAAGGCGGGCAUGAAGCAAGCAGCUGCCCCUGAGGAGAAAGCCAGACCUUGUACCUUUCAGCAGAUAGUUACCAUUAACAGAGCCAAAGCCGUUCAGAACUUCCCCAACAGAGUUACUCCUUCCCAUCGUGCAGCCACUCGACCUCACAACCCAACUCGUUUUGCUGGACCUGGUUGCAAUUCCAUCCGUCAGCAUUUUGGAGCCCAGGCGUAUCGAGCCAGCCCUGCAGAAUUCAUAUGUCCGCGUUUUCCCUUCCAACAGGACUGCGGUAACCCGUGUAAACAGAGGUACGUGUGAAGACAGCCAGACGCAAAGUAAUUGUGUUUCAGCUGAGGACAUCUCUGCAAAUUCACUGGACUCUCUUAUUUCCCCCCCUGUUAGCAGCCUAAUAAAUGUUUGCAUCGUCCGACUAUAGUUAGCUAUAUAUAUACUGCUGCUUUGGGACUGAACCACAAUGAGACUCAUCAAGUGAGGCAAAGGACACAUCCGCCACCAGUCAGUGCUUUAGUUCAUUAGUGAGCAUCUUUAUGCUGUGUGCACACACAAGUGAGGCCCUUAAUACAAAAUGCAAACAGUAUGCACUUUCCAAAUGAAUUGAGUGAUGCGUAGUAAUAACAAAAUCUCAUUGUGCUGUGGUGAUAGUGAAAUGGCGAUUAUUCAACAGUGCAGUCAUUUUCGCCAACGGACCAUCUCAUACAUAAUGCAUGCAAAUCAUUGCAUUUUUUCUCCAUUCUGGGCUACAAUGCAUAUUUCAUCAAGUCAGUGAAAUAUUAAGCACUCUUACUAUUUGAUAUUCUCUUCUAAAGGCGAUUUCAGUUUGUGUAUUUUCUUCAUCACUCGUGUCUCCUCUGGGAACACACUUCCGGGGAUGUCAUUAUUAGGCUUGUUUGUUUACUAGAGAGACGUUUGAUUGGUUAAUACCGGAGUAAUGAUCAGUGAGGCAACCAAUCACUUCAAGAGAUUAUCAAGGCUCAGAGGACAUUGAUCUGUAAGAGGGUUCAGGGCUGAACGGCAGGUUGGGCUCAUUCCAACUGAUUUGAUUGAAAUUACAGAAGCUCAAACUGUGAGGCAUGUCUUCCUCCCUCUGCCCUCAAAUUUUAAAUGUCAACUGUUAUUCAGGUGAAGAGAUUGAUGAGACAUUGGUGGAGGAGAAGAGGGAGAGGUGUGUUCAGCGCAUUAAUUCAAGAAUAUAGAAGCAAAGUUCUGCUUCUUACCACUCAAACUUAUAAUACAAUGAGAAGACAUGACAGGGUUAGGGU
ensembl:lncRNA